UGGCUUAGUUGGUUGAAGCGCCGAUUUAGAAAAACGGAGUCUUGGGUUCGAAUCCCAU
rnacentral:tRNA from 1 species